GGGCGGUUUUCUACUUUGGUUCGUUUUUUCAAUUCUUCCUGGUCCGGGGUGGCAUAGAGCGGUUGGUGUGGGUGGCGGCUAAUCGCAAUUGUUGUAAGAAUGAAUGAAGAGAAAUACAUAUCUUUAGGUUAACGCUGCUACGAUCAGCGGGGAAUGUCGAGCUGCGGACGCCGACACCUCUGUUGUCGUAUAGUUGUUGCCUUUUAAUGGCUG
rnacentral:lncRNA from 1 species